UACGUAGGGUGCGAGCGUUGUCCGGAAUUAUUGGGCGUAAAGGGCUCGUAGGCGGCCAACUAAGUCGGACGAGGAAAUCCCUCGGCUCAACUGAGGAACUGCCUUUGAAACUGCAGGGUUUGAGGCCGGGAGGGGGUAGCGGAAUUCCCAAUGUAGCGGUGAAAUGCGUAGAUAUUGGGAGGAACACCAGUGGCGAAGGCGGCUACCUGGACCGGUUCUGACGCUGAGGCGCGAAAG
rnacentral:rRNA from 1 species